rnacentral:lncRNA from 1 species
GUUCAUGGAAAUUUUUUGAGUUUUUCAUGAGUGUUCUUCAUUGUUCUUGACAUUUUUUGCCAAGAACAAAAAGUUUGGUGUUUUGAUUCAAAGUUUUGAUUUAUUUCAUAAAGUUUAUGUUUUAUGUUUUUCAAAUGUUUAAAUGUGUUAGAUAUUUAUUUAGAAAGGUGUAAGAAAUAUUGGUGGGUGUGUAAGGAUUAAUUCCCUUUCACACACACCACUUGCAUGACAUUUAUGUCAUACACCACUUGCAUGUUUUAUGUCUAAAACUACAAAUCAACACACACAUCACUCCCUUCUAUCUAAAACCGGCCACCCUAUUAAAAUCGGGUACUUUUGGGGCUUUUAUGCAAUUACAUAAAGUUUUGAUACUUUUGUGUAUUUUCACUUUGGCCCAAAAAGUUUACAUUUUUACGUAAAGGCCCAAAAUCAUUAAAGGACAAAUUGUUUUGUUUCUUUAAUGAUGUUUUUCAAUUUGUUGAAAUUUUUGGGUUCUAGUUGUGAUUACAUGAAGUAGUGGACUUUUGUGUUUUUACAAAAUGAGCUCAAAAGUUUAAGUUUUGCAACAUAGCCCAAAAAGUUGAGGUUAUUGCAUUUUGACCCAAAUUAGGUUGAGAACAAAAUUGUUUUGUCUCUUUAAAUGAGAAUUGGAUUUUCAUUUCAUUUAGCUCCAUUUAAAUCAAUUUUAUGGAUACAAAAACCAAAUGAAAAUGUUGCAUUCAAGUUUAAUUGGUUAAAGCGUUAAUUAAUUAAAGAAAUGGUGAUUAUGAACCUAAGCCUAAUAUAAUUGAGCUAUGUGAAAGGCCAUUUCAAAUUUGUUUGAACCAUGGGAAUGUGUAGAUUAGAUUUUGGUUGUAAUUUGAUUUGAUCAAAUGUUGUAAAAGAGCAUAAGCUCUUCUUUACUUUAAAGUAAUUUGUUUUGAUCAAUUGUUGUAAAAGAGCAUAAGCUCUUCUUUACUUUAAAGUACUCAUUUUCUUGUUUUAUUUGAUAUGCAUGAAAUUGGAAUAGUUGGGGUCUAACGCCCCUAAGACAACACGCCUUAAUGUGAUUAAACGCGUAACUAAAAUCAAUCACCAUCCCUAGACCGAGA